rnacentral:lncRNA from 1 species
AAUUAAAUAGACGAGAGAAUCGAGAAAGAAGGGGAGGACGGAGGAAGCUUCAAGAAAAAUGGAGAAGAAGGAUGAGACAACACCGACCUUUUUCACUUUAUAUAUCUCACCGACCUCGACUGAAUCAGCAACCUGACUCUUUUUUUGAGAAAAACCGAUAUGCGAUUGAGAGAGAGAGACCAACGACCUUGACAAAAUUUCUCUGCAAACAGACCACCGACCUUCACCUUACCUUUAUCUCUUUCACACUAUCUCCGAGAAGCGGUGGGGGUUCUCCUUCUUUUGGGGGAAAUAGAAGCCUAUAUGGAGGGACUACAGGAUUUUAGGGGGAGAAACUUGAUCUUUUGCUGCCUCUAUCUCCCCCUGUGUCUCUAGAACCUUGAUAGGCAUCACCAUUUUUGUACCUUUCAGGAAACAGCUAUUAUAAGGCUUUCUGGAGAUCACUAGUAAGCGACAUGAUAAGGGAGAAUGGGAAUAGAGAUAUCGAUUUAAGCUCUUUGGAGGGGAAACUCUGAAUCAACUUCCUCCAAGGCCUUUCCUUUUGGUUCUUGAUUAUGGAAUCAGUACCUAAGUACAUCAUCGCUGUCAACAUAGCAUUCGAAGUUGCCGAACAAUAAAGCUUCCACCUGUGAAUUCGAGUUGGAAUGGACUAGAAGCUGGAGAAUCGUCGUUUAUGGCGGAAGCUAAAGAUGUAAAGGUAAACUGACAACACUUGUGGUAAGUAAUUAUGAAUCUAGAGCAGUGAUUGUGAUCGUUAGUUAUAAGUAUUGUUGGAUUUUGAUGUAAUUGAGUUUGACGCUGAACUGAAAGGCCGGUUGUUGAUUGUUCACUUUGCUGAUCAAAAUGUUUUACAAUAUGGUAUUUGAGAAUUAGUUUGUUUAUUUGUUCAAUGAAAUUGAAGGUUAGGGUGUUACAGACACUUUCAAUCUCAGAUCUUAAAUCCGAGAUAGUUGUUCAACUUGAUUUGGCAUUGGGUCUGCUUGUUAGAAGUUCGUUUGCUAAUUUUUAAGUUUCUUACACCCUCGGUUACUCUUGAACUCCUGAUGUAUGAAUUAUCUCUCCUAGGUGAUCAUAUCAUCGGUGAGGUGAUCAUAUUAUCGGUAACGGUAACGGUUACGGUUACUAUCACAUUUACACUAUUAUCGUGUCAUGUGCAGUCAAGCGAUAUCGUUCGACAUCAAGUCAUAUCCUGAUUACUUCUCAUUAAUGCAUCUGGUUAUCUUUUAUUGUUUUUUUUUAACAUGCGUUUGUGCAUCUUGUUAUACUUUAUUUUUAUCUUCCGAUACAUUUGCGUUGUGUUAUGUACUUUUUAAUCAUUAUUUUAUUUAUUUUUGAUUAGGUAAACAUCUAAUAUUACAAACUUCAUUAUUAAUAUAGAUUUUCGUCCUUGGUAAAAAAAAAUCAUUAUUAAUUACUUACAUUUAGCUAGGUUUCUAUUAUGGAUGGCAUUUUGUUCCUUUGGUUAAUACCCAUGGAUAAUUGAUCACCCAUUAAACAAAAUGGGUAAUACACCCAUCACUUUACUUCGUGGGAAUUUCCAUACCCAACCCAUUGGGUAAUGGUUAACCAUAUACCUGUAUUUUCAUACCCUUUUCUUCUUUAACCUUCUUCGUCUCUUCUCCAAAAAAAGAAAAACCUUUGUCUUCUCAACCUCACAAAUCCCCCACUCCCCGAUACAACUCUUCUGCAAACAUCAACCUCAAUCAAAAUCAAUAAUCAAGAUUCAAGACUAUAAGGGAUUGUGGACCGAGUCCAAACAACGGUGUCAUCAAAAAGGCGCAAGUACUCGGUGGGUUAGGAGAAGACGAGAAACGACCAUGUCCUCAUCGUCGUCUACAUCAGAAUUGUCCUUGAAUUCUUGAAAAUCAACUUCAAAAUCGUCACAAUCCGAGGAUUUCGAACCGGAGAGGCCGUUCGCGGUAACUUGCCGACGCGUCGGUAGGAUGAGAUCAGAAAUUAUAGCGGCCAGAGGAAGUCGGCGGGAUGAAAUCGAAAAUGAUAGCACCCGACACACAUUCUUGAGAGGACUCAGAUUUGAAAGGGAUGUGAAAUCCACACACCUCAAAUUGAAAUUUACACACCAUUUUUUCUUUUUGGUAACUUAAAUUUUAUCUUUUAAUGACUUAAACUUUAUCAUUUUGUGAAUGUGUUAACCAAAAAAGGAAAAAUAAUGUGUGGAUUUCAAUUUGGGGUGUGUGAAUUUCACAACCCAUUUGAAAUUGGUUGAAAUCUUUGCAGAAAAGUGUUGUUUUCUGUAGGAAUUUUAAGAUUUUAAAAUGAAAAAUAACACAUACACAAAACACCAAUUAACUAUUAUCCAUACGGUCAUACCCAUUACCCAUGAGUGUUUAGCACCCAUUACCCAUUUACAUAUAGAUAUUUAGUUGUCAUCUAUUAGAACAACUUUAAUAAAUUCUAUUUUAGCUUUUAGCUAUUUUAAAGAGUGUGUUUAGUUUUUUUUAUAUUUUCGGAGCUUUAACAGACUAGUUAAAGUUUAGCUAUUAUGAUUUUUAGCUAUCUCGCUAGCUAAAUAUAGAGAGCGAGAUGACUCAGAUGAGGCUAGCUAUAAUUUAAUACAUUCUUUAUAAGAUAUUUUACGUGAUAUAUAAUUAUAUUUAAUAGAAAAUUUCAUUGAAGUCACUUUUUCAACAUUUUUUCCUUCAUAAGGCCAUCUUAACUUUUUUACCCAUAUAAGUCCACUUUAUGGGUCAGAUUUGUCAUCUUACUUUUACAUCAUACCCAAAAUACCCNNNNNNNNNNNNNNNNNNNNNNNNNNNNNNNNNNNNNNNNNNNNNNNNNNNNNNNNNNNCUACUACUACUACUACUACUACUACUACUACUACUACUACUACUUACUACUUACUUACUUACUUACUCUCUCUCUCUCUCUCUCUCUCUCUCUCUCUCUCUCUCUCUCUCUCUCUCUCUCUCUCUCUCUCUCUCUCUCUCUCUCUCUCUGUGGCAAGAAAUCCGACCAAAUUCUGAGCCUCAUCGGAACCCUAAACCGACCUAAACCGACAUGAUCCCUCGUCGGAACCCUAAGCCUUAGGGCCUCCGCUGCCUUAUACAACCUCUACGUCGUCUCCCUUCAUCCCUGGUACAUCAUCGCCGCCCAUAGUAAUGCCGUCGCCUCCGUGUCCUCGAUCUCAUAGAAGUCCGGACCCGAUCCGAGCGUCGUCUCCCUAUUCGACUUCGACGUCGUCUGAUUUGAACUCGACCUUGAUGCUGCCGGAUCGACGACGUCAGGGUUUCCUCUGCCAAAUCAACGAAUACCACUAGUCCUCGCCCUUGACUGCUUAACGCUCUUCGAUGCAGAGACACUCGACUAAAGGCGGCUUGAAGAUCCAGAUCUUCCUUUGGAGGUGACAUUUCUGGUAAGAUGCGAUUGUAAUUUGGUUGGAGUUGUUUGUUUGUUUUGAGAAUUUGUAAACAAAGAUUAGGCUGUUGUUCUGUAUUAAUGUCGCUCUUCGUUUGGAAUUUGUAAUUCGAUAGAAAUUUACUGGAAGAGAAAUCACGAAAUCGUGUUCUGAUAGUGUAUGAGACGAAUGAAAUUGAGAUCUGUAACUAUGUAUCAGCAUCAUUGUAGGAUAGUACAUUUUCAACAUAGUAAUAGUAUAUUUUCAACACGGUGAUAGUAUAUUUUUCACACUGUGAUAGUAUUUUUUUCACACGUUGACGGUAGGCGGUGGUAGUAGCUUUUGUAGUUGGUGGUAGUAGUUUUUGUGGCUUGUGGUAGUAGUUUUUGUAUUCGUUAGAAACCUCACAGUAGUAGCUUUUGUGGCUAGUGGUAGUAGUUUUUGUGGCUGGUGGUAGUAGUUUGGAUUCGUCAGAAACCUCACAGUAGUAGCUUUUGUAGUUGGUGGUAGUAGCUUUUGUGUUCGUCGAAAAUCUCACAGUAGUAGCUUUUGUAGCUGGUGGUAGUAGAUUUUGUAGUUGGUGGUAGUAGUUUUUGUUGUUCGUCGGAAACCUCACAGUAGUAGCUUUGUAGACGGUGGUAGUAGCUUUUAUGGCUGGUAGUAGUAGGUUUUGUAGGCGAUAGUAGUAGCUUUUAUAGCUGGUGGUAGUAGCUUUUGUAGCUGGUAGUAGUAAUUUUUGUCAUCGUCGGAGGUCUGUCGGAAACCUCGCCGAAGGUCGGCCGGAGACUUUUCCGAUAUGAGAGUGGUUGUUGAUUUUUUAUACUAAUGGCAUUCUUGUAAAUAUAAAGGAGAGAAUCUAAUUUUUUUUUUGUUGGAUGGCAGUCUGUAAUUUUGUUCAACUUCUAUACCUAAUAUAAAACCUUAUUUAGGCUUAAGUGGACUUAUGUGAGUAAAAAUGUUUGGGUGGACUUAUGUGGAAGAAAAUGUGUGAAAGUGGACUUCUAUGUAAUUGGUCCUAUAUUUAAACUAUUUAAUCUUUAUUUAAAGAAUAAUAUUGAUGUAAUGCUAGCUAAAAUAGAGAGCAUUGAUGUAAGCGCAUUUUUUGAGUGGCUAGCUAAAAAGACAUUUUAACUAAUUUGACUAAAAUUUAACUAAAAAUGGUUAGCAUUGCUAAAGAGAAAUCUUUUGAAUUGAUUUUUGAGCAUGUUUUUAUAAACUAUUGAAAAAUUACCAUAUAAAGAGAUCAAAAGUUUCAAAUACCCUCAUUUAAAUCUCUCUCAUUUUCUUCUUAACAUUCUCAAUAAUAUUAUAUUAUAUAGAGAAAAUUACAUAGUAGUACAUGACCAAAUUUUAAAACACAAAAAAUCCACUUCUAAUAAUUUUUACACAAAUUAGGACAUCAGUCUUAGGCCUAUAGUACAUAAUACUAGGCCUACUCCAAAACUGAGAUGCAAAUGACCAAAAUGCCCACUCUUUACAAUAAAAUUACACACAUUCUCCCAUACCCUCUCCUCCACACCUCAAUCUGACUCUCUCUCUCUCUCUCNCUCUCUCUCUCUCUCUCUCUCUACACACACACNNNNNNNNNNNNNNNNNNNNNNNNNNNNNNNNNNNNNNNNNNNNNNNNNNNNNNNNNNNNNNNNNNNNNNNNNNNNNNNNNNNNNNNNNNNNNNNNNNNNNNNNNNNNNNNNNNNNNNNNNNNNNNNNNNNNNNNNNNNNNNNNNNNNNNNNNNNNNNNNNNNNNNNNNNNNNNNNNNNNNNNNNNNNNNNNNNNNNNNNNNNNNNNNNACUCUCUCUCUCUCAUCCUCGACGACACCCACGAAGACGACGACGACGACGACGAGCCGACGCCGUCCAACACCACCACCACCACCACCACGAUGCCUCGGUGACGCCAGCCAAUUUGGUGACCAACGCCUCCAGAUUCGAUUUGGCGGUCUUCGAUCUCGUUCUGGAAUGUACGGCAAGCAACAGUUGUUUCUCUCUCUCCGGCGGCGAGCCCGAUGCAGUUUCGAUCCGGAGAGGGUUUGUGCUCAGCUUCUUCAUGUUGUGGUCAUCAGAGAUCGGAGAGGAUUGGGGUCGAUGGUGAGGGAGACGAGGCAGUGAACGGCGCAUUUGAGGGAGUCGAAGCCCAAGCCGAGGUUGGGCGACGGUGGCAGGGGCAAAAUUCUUGACGGAGGUGAAUAAGGGUUUGGGCUUGGCGUUAAAGAUGGUGGAUCGGGAGGGGAGGGAGAAGUUGCAUCAGAAGAUGGGUUUUGGGUUUUGAAAUGUGAUGUUAUUCAGAUUUUCUGCUACUGUUGAAAAUUGCUGCUACUGCAAUUUUCUGCUAUUGUUGAGACUUGAGAUUGCUGCUACUGUUGUUGAGAUAUGUUGGAAAUGUAAUUUUGUUGCUACUAUGAUAUGUUGGAAGUAGCAGAAAAAAAACAGGGACAAUAGCAAAAAGGUAAAAACAUGGUGCAGUAGCAGAAAAGUAAAAAUAGGGGCAGUAGCAUAACGUUUGUAAACAGUCGGCAGUAGCAGCUUAUUCAGUUCACAGUAGCAGAACGUUUGUAAACGGUUGGUGCAGUAGCAUGAAACUUUCCGGUUGGUGCACUAGCAUGAAAUUUUCCGGUUGGUGCAGUAGCAGGAGAUUUUUGGUCGGCACAGUAACAACAGAUUUCCACUCGGCUACAGUAGUAGCAGAUUUCCAAUCAGAGGCUGUAGUAGUGAAUUUCCAGUUGGAGGCAGUAGCAGGGAAUUAUGUUUUAAUUAAGGACAAAAUUGUAAAUGUGUAAUGCCACAUGGCAACUAUAUAACAGUUUGUUCUUAUUUGUAAAUGUUUGUCCUUAUUUGUUUAGUAAUAUGCUUAAUGGACUUUUUUGUCAAUUGAUAUUUAGUUAGUAACUAAUAUGUAGUUUACUAAAUUUUAAGUAGCCCGAUCUUCUCUCCUCCAAAAAAAGAAAAAGGGAAAAAAAAAGUAGCUCGAUCUCCUCCAUUUUUGACACACCACUCCUACCAAAUUGUUCGUCGGAAGGCUUUCCUAUUUUACAAAUGAUGAAACUAUUUUUGUACAUGAAAGCUAUUUUGUUUUUCUUUGUGAGAUAAGAGAGAAAACUUAUGUUAGUAUUUCUGGUCACUCUUCUAUAUGAUUCGGUAAUAUUACCAUGGAGUCCAAUGGUAAAGUCUACCUUCUAACUGUUUGAUAAAAUUCCUUUUACUAAAAAAAUAAAGAAAUGACAUUCAUAUUCAUAGAAUAAAUUUUAGGUUUUGUUCAAUCCAUGCAUGAUGCGCCAAUAUUACUAUUUGCACAAGGAUCCGGAUUAGCAAUUGGAAAUUCAUAAUUUACAUGUUGAUUUUCAGACUUUGUAUAAUUGUAUAUGAAUUAUUGAUUUUAUUUCGGCGACUUAAAGUUAAGCCAUUGACAAUAAAGAGACAAUAAAAUCAAACACAUACAAGUUAAACUUUCAACCAAGAAGAAAUUUUUCCAUACUCCAAGAUUGCCCAGUGGUCCUCCAUCACCUAUAAGAUGUUGACAUGUGGAAAUUUUUACACGUUGGUUAAUUACAUCACUUAGGUCAUUAAAAUUGCCGUCAUAAACCGUAAACACAUCUAUCUCUAUUCCAUAAUCAUCAAAAAUGAAAGAGAUUCUUGCUUCAAUUUCAAAAUGUAUUAUGGGAUUUGCAGGUUAAUAGUCUUCAACCCAAUUGCUUUCCAAAUUCGUCAAUGGAUAGUCUUCAAUCCAAUUACGGGAUUUGUCAAAUUUGUGUUUGCAUAGAAGAUGAAAGAAAUUUCAUCUGGGUUGUCGGCGUCCUAUAUGG